GCCGGGUGUGGUGGUGUGCACCUGUAGUCCCAGCUACCGGGAGACUGAGGCAGGAGAAUUGCUUGAACCCAGGAGGCAGAGGUUGCAGUGAGUCGAGAUUGUGCCACUGCACUCUAGCCUGGGUGACAGAGCGACACUCUGUCUCAA
ensembl:misc_RNA Metazoa_SRP Metazoan signal recognition particle RNA